CGAGCGGGCCACGUGAUCGCCCCGAGAGAUCGGGGAGGAAAGUCCGAACUCCGAACUGGCGGCAUGCCGGGUAACGCCCGGUCGCGGCGACGCGAAGGAAAGUGCCACAGAAAACAAACCGCCUUCCCCGGGCUCACGCCCCGGGACGGCAAGGGUGAAACGGUGCGGUAAGAGCGCACCGCUCCGCCGGCAACGGCGGGGGCACGGUAAACCCCAUGCGGAGCAAGGCCAAAUAGGGGGGCAGCGGGCGCCCGUCCCGCCUCACACACCGUGAGCUGCCUCCGGGUCGGCUGCUCGAGCCCGAGGGCGACCUCGGGCCAAGAGGAAUGAUCGCGACCCCGGCUUGGGCCGGGGCACAGGAUUCGGCUUACAGGCCCGCUCGGGGC
rnacentral:RNase_P_RNA from 1 species